AAAAAAUUAUAUAAAACUUGGAAAAAACGUAAAUUGGCAUAUAAAUCAUCUUGACAGUAAGUUACCAAAAAUUACAAAAAAGCAUCAACUGCCUCAAAAGCAAUGAAUUUCAUGCAGGUAAUGGCCAUCGUUACUUAAAAACUAGUUCAAAUGGAUGCGAGUACGUAAAUAUCAAUGGAACAGCAUCAAGAGAUGAUGAUCCUCUAGUCCUUCCAGCUCACAUGGUUUUUCAAACACUACCAAAACAUACCUUAAAUGAAUUAUUAAUACUCGUAUCAGGUAUUAACUAAUAAUAUUUUGUGACAAACAACUGGUCAAGAAAUCUUCUAGGGUGAGGGGGAAUUAUAAGAAACUCAGGUGAGGGGGGGGUCACCUCACUUUAUCAACAUUGGUAAAAUAUCCACCAACACGAAUAUAUGCACCUCUUCGAAUGACAUUUCCUGAUUUUACGCAAUUCGUGUUAAAAAUAUAUGUUAAUAAAUUUGCAUAACCAGUUUGCCGUAAAUACAGCAAGGUUCUCAACGAGAUCUACUCCGCAUCAACUUGAAUCAAAAUGAAGUCAAGUUCCUAGAUUCUGUUUAAUUUUUUUCGAGUUCUUUACGAUGAAUUGCUGAAAACCCACAGUUUUCAUUCUACAUACCUCUGAAGAAUGGGACCAGGGCUUGCAAAUUUCCCAUACCUACUUGGACGAAUCCUUUGGAAACUUAUGGCUGAAAACUGGAUAACACCUGUUUGAGAAGCAAUGGAGAGAAUAAAUUGGGAAUUUGAAAUUAGUAACUAUAAGAUUUGAAAAGCUCAAAAUUGAACUUUCAAGGUAGAAGUUUAAUUUUUCUAAAUCAGUACAAAAGUUGAAUCCACUUUUGAAAAUUUGAAAGAAAAUACAGCGAAGAUUUUUUUUACUCUUCUAUAAACGAAGUAAUCUCGAAAAUUGGUUCACAAUCUCUUCUGAGGGCCCAAGGGACUUUAUUUUGUAUUAAAAUUUUAGAAAAUUUCAAAAAUAACCUACUUUAUUUUUUAUAUUCUCGUAUAAAAGUUGAGUAAAAAUAACUUACAAUAAUAGGCAACAAAAAUAAAAUCCUUUCCGAACUUACAAUCUCAUAUUUUCUUUCAAAUUUUGGCGAAUUUCAGCCCAUGUAACGCCGGUAUAAGAAUCCAAUUAAAAUUAAUCCUCGAUAAUAAUUCGUCGGCUGAGACAAAAGUCAAUUAAGGGAACGUGUGAAAAAUAAAAUUCACCCUUUCGGCGUUACUUUUACAUGACGCCGGCGGCGGCAUCAGACAGCACAGACACAGACAGAGACGACGACGAGUCAAAACACGAGACCAUCAUCUCCGCUUCACCACUCAAGUUUCGUGAGCGAGAGAAAAAAAAACUCUCUAAUAUAGGGUUACUUUCACGUUGGCAAAUUACGUUAGUUGUACGUUUUUGCGAUCUGCCAAGGAGGGAAGACGAGGAAUCGUCCAAAACGUGUGUUUUAUCCGCAGCCGCAGAGUCUAAAUGCUUCGAACGAUAAAAACAAAACAUGGCGAGCGAUCUUCUGAGCGCAACAUAUACGUAUAGGUGUAGGCAGGAAACGAAACACUGAAACACUCAUCGUUAAGAUGUUUCCACAGCAUCCCGUAUCGGAAUGGAGACCAAAGGGUGAAAGGAAAAAUACCUAUACGAACAGGUGCUCUAAACGUAUAAAAUUUCAUAAAAGGCGAUAUAAACGAGCCUAACGGUUACGUAGAGCUAUAGAGACCAAAAGCAACACACUGGGGGUGGUUUUUUAAAUGAAUUUUUUACGCGUUUUCACACGUACGAUGAUACUCCAACUCCAGCCUGGAAGUUUGCAACUUUCGGGUAUACCGCUCGUCUUAUGGGUGUUCAGCACACCAGGAUCAAUACGAAGCGAGGAAAAAUCACGUAAUUAGCGCUUGCCAGAGUUUCUCUCACGACCACCGCAGCAGCAUAAGACAGAUCGCGCGUCGCUAGCACCGGAGGAGGGUAGUCGAUGUACGAGUAGGUACCAAAUUUUGUGCACUCCUGGCGCAUAAAUUCUAUGCAAAAAAAAAUAUCCUACGAACGGAGUACGAGAAGUACGUUCUAAUUACAAGCUAUAUCGUAGUAUACAUAUAUGGAGAGGAAAAAAGAGGUGCUUUUUACAUUUUGGUAUUUAAAAAAAAUAUACUGCACGUUUUCCUACCUUGAAAUGAUUCGGUCGCGAACGUCACCUAUUUCCAAGAGCGAGGUCCACUGAUACCAGCAGAUGUAACUAGAACUUUUUUAUGGCUCGGCAACUUUUAACCAGAAAAGGCGUGUUUUGCGAACCUUCAAACUUUCGUCGUCGAUGUAUUUUUUCGCGUUUUUCUGCAACAACAAAACGUUAUAAAUAUUUAUUAUUGAGAUGGAAACUUGUUACGUUUGGAAUUUAUAUUUAUUUUUUUGUCGUCGUAUUUUUACGGUUCGUGAUGGUGGUGUUGGAGAUAAUACGGAGUGAAAUCGGGGCUACUACUUUGAGAUUAUUCGUGGAAUAUUUUGAGCUCUGUGAUAAGUGCGACAUGUAGUAAAAUUAUUGAUACGGAAAUGAAUAUUUUAUUUCAGACGAUUUGAUGGCGACGAUCACAAGAAAUGGCGCAGAAAUGUUUUCACAUUUACCCUGUAGAUCCGAAUUUGUUUGUAAUUGGUUACGAAUUCGGUUCUAGAGAGGUUCGUGUGAAAUAUAUGUUACUAUUGGUGGUUUUGGAAAUAGCGUCGAAGCUCGGUCUCUUCAUCUAACCUACUGAAAAAUACACAGCAAAGUUGACUAAAACUUUAGAUAAUUUUUAGAUUUUGUACGUUUUUUGUUUUUGUUGUUAUUGUUGUUUUUUUUAAAAUGAAAAGCUGUCGCAGUUAUAUACUUUAAUUUAAAUCUUGUGUAGUUAAAAUUUUGAGAAGGUGAUCAAACAAAUCCGGAAAAGGCUUUGGUACUUUUUUAUACCAAAAAGAAACCUUAAAUAUAACAAUCAAUUUGUCCAAAACAUAUUCAUUAAAUUUAAACUAAUGAAAAAAAUAUUGUAAUUGGUAAAAAAAAAACAACAUCAGUUUUCAUCUAGCUAAAUACAUACUUACGUACCUAGUUCAUUUUUUUUUUUUUUUUUUUUUUUUUUUACAAUAUUAAGAAACUAUAUAGUUCCUAUCUAUUGCAAAAUAAUCGUUUGAAGAGGCAUUAAAUGUGAUCAUUAUUUUUCUUUUCUAAAAAAAUUAAUUAUGUAAAAAUCAAUGAAAAUUUUUCACAAAAAUGAUAAACGAAUUAAUUUCUAAUUUUAUAUUUUAGCCUCGCACAAGGACAUUUAAUUCAAUUUUUACUCCGAAAUCACAAGAAAGACAUCUACAAAAAUAACAAUCCUGAUAAAACGUUACAAAAAUAUCUCAAAUCAUUAUUAUUGCAAAAAAGAAUGCAUGUCAAGUAAUGAAAUGUGCAAACAAAAGAGAUGUUUACCUAAUCAAGUAAAAUUCUUCCGUGUAUUUUAAUUAAUUUUACCUAGAAGUAUAAUGGUAUUUUAUAUAGGUACAAUACGUAUUUAAUUUUUCGAUUAUUUCAACUGACUUUACUAUUGAAGAAUUUCAGUUGAUGAGAAGCAAGAAACGAAAACAACUUAUACAGGUGAUUUGGAUAAGACCUGAAAAAUUAAAACCACAUAUUCUACUCGUUGAAUUAAGAAAAAAUUUCCUUUGCAAAAAUUUUGAAAAACCCACCCUUAAUGAGAUAUUUGCAAUUACGUAAAGUUGUGUAAAAUAUGGCAACACCGCAUUUACAUUUCGCUUAUGUGUUACGCAUUGUUUGCAUUAUUACACAGCUCAAAUCAGAGUGUUAUCAAAAAGUGUUCCUUAGUUACAAUUUCCUACUUGGAUUUGAAGUGCAAUCAUUCACCAACCAGCAAUUUCUAUUGUUUUUAGGAAACAAAAUCGUAAUUUACCGUGACAAAUUUUGCGAUGUUGCCAAAGUGAGCAUAUUGGUUGAGAUAAAUCAUGUUUUAUUGAGGAAUACCAUUUUUUUUUUUUUUGUCAUAAAAGUAGGUAUUGAAAAUUGAAAAUUGAGUAUAGGAAACCUUCAAAAACAUUAGUUUAUAAAAAAUUAGAGAGUUUGUCAAUAUUGAAAAAUUUGAUUAUUCAGCAUCCAAUGGACCAAAAAAGAGAAAUUUAAGUUUAAUGAAUGUCAAAUGAGAAGUACUACCCCAUUAAUUAAUAAAAUUCGAAAUAAUUUAAUUUAACCUCGAGUUUUGAUUGUUUUUCAUCUAAGAAAACACAUUUCUGACUUCAAAACAUCAAUUUAUGGACCAAAACAGAAAAGAAUGAUACUCUACAUUUUUGAGAUCUCACUUCACUCGUUCCACCCCCUACCCCCCAAAAAUUUUCAAUAAAGACGCCAAAAUGGCUAAUUUUAAGAAAAUAGCUGGCCCCCUUUAAAGGUCAAUAACUCCGAAAUGAAGAGGUUUUGGUCCAUGGUGUAUAUAACAUUUUUUACUCGUAUUUAUGAGUAGAAUACGUGGUUUUAAUUUUUCAGGUCUUAUCCGAAUCACCCUGUACCUACCUAAUUACAUGAAGGAUCCAGAUAUAAGUGGAAAGAAAAUAACCAGAUGAAGAAAUAAAAUUACGUGAAAAUUAUCCAUAAGUACUACCUAAUUAAGUUAAAUUAUUUUUAAAUAAAAUAAAGCGAAUUUUCAAAUAUUUUCAACUCAAAAUUAAAUAUUUAGCUUACUAAUUUUUUAUACUUAUCAUAAGCAGAUUUUGGUCAAUUUUUGUACACAAAAAAUGAUUCUUUUUAGGAAAAUUUCUAUUAAAAUUCAUCGUUUUCCCACUUGAGAUCAACUUGAUCAUAAUUUUAAGAAAUUUGGUGUCCUCUUCUCAUGUAAGCAUUCCAUAUGAAAAUAAAUUUAACGACAUUCUAGGAUUAUGUAAUUUGAUUUGUCACAUAAGCAUUGAUUGAAUGCGAUUAAGUAAUUUUUAAAUUGUUUAAAGAUAAAUUGAUUUCAUCUAGUCAUAACCAAAAUCAUGAUUGAAAGCGAGUAAUAUUAACCUGGGUGACGUAUAUUAAUUUAUACAUGUAAAAGCGGACAUUUUGUAAUUCCGCAAUAUGUAGGUAUGUAGUUUACAGUAGAUAAAGAAUUCAAUAAAGAAGAACGAUUAAUAACGUAAACAAAACAGAAAAUACAAAUCACUGAGUACAAAAACUUGAAAAUUAAACGAUCACAAAAAAAAAGUGAGUGCUAAAUGAGGAAUUGAAGCCAAUUUUCAUUUGAAAUUAUCAAAGUAUGCACCAAACUUUAAAACUCUUAAAAAAAUAUUCUUUUUUGAAUAGGAAAAAAAAUCGAGCAAUGCUAAUUUAGCUGUAUUAAGUAUAACUUUCGCACCUUCAGUGGAGGAAUGAUAAUCAAAAAUUACUUGCAACACUAAAAUUCAUGGAAUUCAUCCCAGAAUUUCUAGUUUAUCAUUCACUUAUUCACUUUACUUCUCAACAAAAUUAUUAUCAAAAUUAUUACUUUGUUUAUUUUUUCCUUUUUUUUUUUUUUUUGAAUUUAAUUUGUACGAGUAAAUUUAACUAGUUGGCAGUUGUUUAAAAAUUGGAUUAACCACCUUUAUGAAUUUUUAACUGAUUUUUUUCUGAGUAAUUUUUUUUUUUAAAUACAUAUUAUGUAGGUAAUGCAGUUGAGGAUUUUCAUACUCUCUAAAUUUGAAACAGUCAAUUUCACUGCUUAGCAGUCACGACAUUUUGCCUUUUUAAAGCAGUAGUUUUUUUUUACUGCAAAACAGUGAAAAAAUACUGAAUUGGUCAGUAAAAAAUCAUUUUGACUGACCAAUUCAGUAAUUUUUCACUGUUUUGCAGUAAAAAAAAAACUACUGCUUUAAAAAGGCAAAAUGUCGUGACUGCUAAGCAGUGAAAUUGACUGUUUCAAAUUUAGAGAGUAGGUAUCAUUGUACUUGACUUCGUAAACAUUGUACUAAUGCAAAUUGUGAUUGAAUAAACCAUAUUUUAACUUA